rnacentral:rRNA from 1 species
UACGUAGGUGGCAAGCGUUGUCCGGAUUUAUUGGGCGUAAAGCGCGCGCAGGCGGUCCUUUAAGUCUGAUGUGAAAUCUUGCGGCUCAACCGCAAGCGGUCAUUGGAAACUGGGGGACUUGAGUACGAGAAGAGGAAAGUGGAAAUUCCAACGUUGUAGCGGUGGAAAUGACGCAGAUAUCAGGAAGAACACCCGUGGCGAAGGCGGCUCUCUGGGACGGUACUGACGCUGAGACGCGAAAGCGUGGGGAGCGAACAGG